AUUCGCGGCCUAUCAGCUUGUUGGUGGGGUCACGGCCUACCAAGGCGACGACGGGUAGCUGGUCUGAGAGGAUGGCCAGCCACAUUGGGACUGAGAGACGGCCCAGACUCCUACGGGAGGCAGCAGUGGGGAAUCUUGCGCAAUGGCCGAAAGGCUGACGCAGCGACGCCGCGUGUGGGAGGACGCCCUUCGGGGUGUAAACCACUGUUGCCCGGGACGAAUCCCUGGUUUCGACCAGGUUGACGGUACCGGGUGAGGAAGCACCGGCUAACUCCGUGCCAGCAGCCGCGGUAAUACGGAGGGUGCGAGCGUUGUCCGGAAUCACUGGGCGUAAAGGGCGCGUAGGUGGCGGCAUAAGCGUGCGGUGAAAGCCCGGGGCUCAACUCCGGGUCGGCCGUGCGGACUGUGUCGCUCGAGCAUGGUAGAGGCAGGUGGAAUUCCGGGUGUAGCGGUGGAAUGCGUAGAGAUCCGGAAGAACACCGGUGGCGAAGGCGGCCUGCUGGGCCAUGGCUGACACUGAGGCGCGACAGCGUGGGGAGCAAACAGGAUUAGAUACCCUGGUAGUCCACGCCGUAAACGAUGGGCACUAGGUGCUUGGGGGAGCGACCCCCUGGGUGCCGGCGCUAACGCAUGAAGUGCCCCGCCUGGGGAGUACGGAAUCGUCGACCGCAGCCCCCCCCGG
rnacentral:rRNA from 1 species